rnacentral:rRNA from 1 species
UACGUAGGGUGCGAGCGUUAAUCGGAAUUACUGGGCGUAAAGUGUGCGCAGGCGGUUCGUUAAGUCAGCUGUGAAAGCCCCGGGCUCAACCUGGGAACUGCGGUUGAAACUGGCGAACUAGAAUCUGGCAGAGGGGGGUGGAAUUCCACGUGUAGCAGUGAAAUGCGUAGAUAUCGGAAGGAACAUCAGUGGCGAAGGCGGCUACCUGGACAGAUACUGACGCUGAGGCGCGAGAGCGUGGGGAGCAAACAGG